ACUUAAAUAAUUUAAAUAAAAUAUUGAUUUGUGGAGUCAAAAAUAUGAUAAGUUCAUUUUAGGUU
rnacentral:tRNA from 2 species